GGUGCGGUGGCCGAGCGGUUGAAGGCACACGACUUGAAAUCGUGCAGACCCGAAAGGGUCUCGUGGGUUCGAAUCCCACCCGCACCG
rnacentral:tRNA from 1 species